rnacentral:rRNA from 1 species
UUUCCGGUUGAUCCUGCCAGAGGUUACUGCUAUCGGUGUUCGGCUAAGCCAUGCGAGUCAUAUGUUCUUCGUGAACAUGGCGUACUGCUCAGUAACACGUGGAUAACCUGCCUUUGGGUCCGGCAUAACCCCGGGAAACUGGGGAUAAUUCCGGAUAACGCACAUAUGCUGGAAUGCUUUAUGCGUCAAAUGGAUUCGUCUGCCCAAGGAUGGGUCUGCGGCCUAUCAGGUAGUAGUGGGUGUAAUGUACCUACUAGCCGACGACGGGUACGGGUUGUGAGAGCAAGAGCCCGGAGAUGGAUUCUGAGAUAUGAAUCCAGGCCCUACGGGGCGCAGCAGGCGCGAAAACUUUACAAUGCGGGAAACCGUGAUAAGGGGACACCGAGUGCCAGCAUCAUAUGCUGGCUGUCCGGGUGUGUAAAAUACACCUGUUAGCAAGGGCCGGGCAAGACCGGUGCCAGCCGCCGCGGUAACACCGGCGGCCCGAGUGGUGAUCGUGAUUAUUGGGUCUAAAGGGUCCGUAGCCGGUUUGGUCAGUCCUCCGGGAAAUCUGACGGCUUAACCAUUAGGCUUUCGGAGGAUACUGCCAGGCUUGGAAUCGGGAGAGGUAAGAGGUACUACAGGGGUAGGAGUGAAAUCUUGUAAUCCCUGUGGGACCACCUGUGGCGAAGGCGUCUUACCAGAACGGGUUCGACGGUGAGGGACGAAAGCUGGGGGCACGAACCGGAUUAGAUACCCGGGUAGUCCCAGCCGUAAACGAUGCUCGCUAGGUGUCAGGCAUGGCGCGACCGUGUCUGGUGCCGUAAGGGAAGCCGUGAAGCGAGCCACCUGGGGAAUACGGCCGCAAGGCUGAAACUUAAAGGAAUUGGCGGGGGAGCACAACAACCGGGCGGAGCCUGCGGUUAAUUGGACUCAACGCCGGAACAACUCAACCGGGGCCGACAG